AUUGAACGCUGGCGGCAUGCUUUACACAUGCAAGUCGAACGGUAACAGGCCUUCGGGUGCUGACGAGUGGCGAACGGGUGAGUAAUGCAUCGGAACGUGCCCAGAGGUGGGGGAUAACGCAGCGAAAGCUGUGCUAAUACCGCAUGUGAUCUGAGGAUGAAAGCGGGGGACCAAGCAGCAAUGUUUGGCCUCGCGCCUCUGGAGCGGCCGAUGUCAGAUUAGGUAGUUGGUGGGGUAAAGGCCUACCAAGCCGACGAUCUGUAGCUGGUCUGAGAGGACGACCGGCCACAGGGGGAGAGAGACGCGGCCAGGACUCCGAGGGGGGGGAGGAGGGGGAAUUUUUGGACAAGGGGGGCAAGCCGGACCAAGCAGGCCCGCGGGGGGAAAGAGGGCUUUGGGGUUUUAACCCUUUUUUGCGGGAAAGAAAAAGUCUCGGGCAAAACCGGGGGGGGAAGGAGGGAACGUAAAAAAAAAACACGGGCAAACUACGUC
rnacentral:rRNA from 1 species